UACGUAGGGUGCGAGCGUUAAUCGGAAUUACUGGGCGUAAAGUGUGCGCAGGCGGCAGAGCAAGUCGAGUGUGAAAGCCCCGGGCUUAACUUGGGAAUUGCGCUCGAAACUACUUUGCUGGAGUGUGGCAGAGGAAGGUGGAAUUCCACGUGUAGCGGUGAAAUGCGUAGAGAUGUGGAGGAACACCAAUGGCGAAGCAGCCUCUGGGCCAACACUGACGCUCAUGCACGAAAGCGUGGGGAGCAAACAGG
rnacentral:rRNA from 1 species